rnacentral:rRNA from 1 species
UGCAGUCGACGAUGAACCACUUCGGUGGGGAUUAGUGGCGAACGGGUGAGUAACACGUGGGCAAUCUGCCCUGCACUCUGGGACAAGCCCUGGAAACGGGGUCUAAUACCGGAUACUGACCCGCUUGGGCAUCCAAGCGGUUCGAAAGCUCCGGCGGUGCAGGAUGAGCCCGCGGCCUAUCAGCUUGUUGGUGAGGUAAUGGCUCACCAAGGCGACGACGGGUAGCCGGCCUGAGAGGGCGACCGGCCACACUGGGACUGAGACACGGCCCAGACUCCUACGGGAGGCAGCAGUGGGGAAUAUUGCACAAUGGGCGAAAGCCUGAUGCAGCGACGCCGCGUGAGGGAUGACGGCCUUCGGGUUGUAAACCUCUUUCAGCAGGGAAGAAGCGAAAGUGACGGUACCUGCAGAAGAAGCGCCGGCUAACUACGUGCCAGCAGCCGCGGUAAUACGUAGGGCGCGAGCGUUGUCCGGAAUUAUUGGGCGUAAAGAGCUCGUAGGCGGCUUGUCACGUCGGUUGUGAAAGCCCGGGGCUUAACCCCGGGUCUGCAGUCGAUACGGGCAGGCUAGAGUUCGGUAGGGGAGAUCGGAAUUCCUGGUGUAGCGGUGAAAUGCGCAGAUAUCAGGAGGAACACCGGUGGCGAAGGCG